GACACCCAGUGGACAUUCUGGAUACUGCAGCAGUGCCAGCGACACCCAGUGGACACUCCGGAUACUGCAGUAAUAUCAGCGACACCCAGUGGACACUCCGGAUACUGCAAUAAUAUCAGCGACACCCAGUGGACACUCCGGAUACUGCAGUAAUAUCAGCGACACCCAGUGGACACACCAGAUCCUGCAGUAAUAUCAGCGACACCCAGUGGACACUCCGGAUACUGCAGUAAUAUCAGCGACACCCAGUGGACACACCAGAUCCUGCAGUAAUAUCAGCGACACCCAGUGGACACUCCGGAUACUGCAGUAAUAUCAGCGACACCCAGUGGACACACCAGAUCCUGCAGUAAUAUCAGCGACACCCAGUGGACACUCCGGAUACUGCAAUAAUAUCAGCGACACCCAGUGGACACUCCGGAUACUGCAGUAAUAUCAGCAACACCCAGUGGACACUGCGGAUACUGCAGUAAUAUCAGCGACACCCAGUGGACACUGCGGAUACUGCAGUAAUAUCAGCGACACCCAGUGGACACUGCGGAUACUGCAGUAAUAUCAGCGACACCCAGUGGA